CAACCAUAACCCGUUGAAACAACGGUUCUCGUAGGAUCACUGAAGUUAAACAACGUCUACGCUGGUCCGUACCUCGCUGGGUGACCACUUGGGAAUACCAGUUGCUGUA